rnacentral:rRNA from 1 species
UUAAGCGACUAAGCGUACACGGUGGAUGCCCUGGCAGUCAGAGGCGAUGAAGGACGUGCUAAUCUGCGAAAAGCGUCGGUAAGGUGAUAUGAACCGUUAUAACCGGCGAUGUCCGAAUGGGGAAACCCAGUGCAAUUCGUUGCACUAUCGUUAACUGAAUACAUAGGUUAACGAGGCGAACCGGGGGAACUGAAACAUCUAAGUACCCCGAGGAAAAGAAAUCAACCGAGAUUCCCCCAGUAGCGGCGAGCGAACGGGGAGCAGCCCAGAGUCUGAAUCAGCUUGUGUGUUAGUGGAACGGUCUGGAAAGUCCGACGGUACAGGGUGAUAGUCCCGUACACCAAAAUGCACAGGCUGUGAACUCGAAGAGUAGGGCGGGACACGUGGUAUCCUGUCUGAAUAUGGGGGGACCAUCCUCCAAGGCUAAAUACUCCUGACUGACCGAUAGUGAACCAGUACCGUGAGGGAAAGGCGAAAAGAACCCCGGCGAGGGGAGUGAAAAAGAACCUGAAACCGUGUACGUACAAGCAGUGGGAGCACCUUCGGGUGUGACUGCGUACCUUUUGUAUAAUGGGUCAGCGACUUAUAUUCUGUAGCAAGGUUAACCGUAUAGGGGAGCCGCAGGGAAACCGAGUCUUAACUGGGCGUUAAGUUGCAGGGUAUAGACCCGAAACCCGGUGAUCUAGCCAUGGGCAGGUUGAAGGUUGGGUAACACUAACUGGAGGACCGAACCGACUAAUGUUGAAAAAUUAGCGGAUGACUUGUGGCUGGGGGUGAAAGGCCAAUCAAACCGGGAGAUAGCUGGUUCUCCCCGAAAGCUAUUUAGGUAGCGCCUCGUGAACUCAUCUUCGGGGGUAGAGCACUGUUUCGGCUAGGGGGUCAUCCCGACUUACCAACCCGAUGCAAACUACGAAUACCGAAGAAUGUUAUCACGGGAGACACACGGCGGGUGCUAACGUCCGUCGUGAAGAGGGAAACAACCCAGACCGCCAGCUAAGGUCCCAAAGUCAUGGUUAAGUGGGAAACGAUGUGGGAAGGCACAGACAGCCAGGAUGUUGGCUUAGAAGCAGCCAUCAUUUAAAGAAAGCGUAAUAGCUCACUGGUCGAGUCGGCCUGCGCGGAAGAUGUAACGGGGCUAAACCAUGCACCGAAGCUGCGGCAGCGACACUAUGUGUUGUUGGGUAGGGGAGCGUUCUGUAAGCCUGCGAAGGUGACCUGUGAGGGUUGCUGGAGGUAUCAGAAGUGCGAAUGCUGACAUAAGUAACGAUAAAGCGGGUGAAAAGCCCGCUCGCCGGAAGACCAAGGGUUCCUGUCCAACGUUAAUCGGGGCAGGGUGAGUCGACCCCUAAGGCGAGGCCGAAAGGCGUAGUCGAUGGGAAACAGGUUAAUAUUCCUGUACUUGGUGUUACUGCGAAGGGGGGACGGAGAAGGCUAUGUUAGCCGGGCGACGGUUGUCCCGGUUUAAGCAUGUAGGCUGGUUGUCCAGGCAAAUCCGGAUAAUCAAGGCUGAGGUGUGAUGACGAGGCACUACGGUGCUGAAGUAACAAAUGCCCUGCUUCCAGGAAAAGCCUCUAAGCAUCAGGUAACAUCAAAUCGUACCCCAAACCGACACAGGUGGUCAGGUAGAGAAUACCAAGGCGCUUGAGAGAACUCGGGUGAAGGAACUAGGCAAAAUGGUGCCGUAACUUCGGGAGAAGGCACGCUGGUGUGUAGGUGAAGCCCCUGCGGGUGGAGCUGAGACCAGUCGAAGAUACCAGCUGGCUGCAACUGUUUAUUAAAAACACAGCACUGUGCAAACACGAAAGUGGACGUAUACGGUGUGACGCCUGCCCGGUGCCGGAAGGUUAAUUGAUGGGGUUAUCCGUAAGGAGAAGCUCUUGAUCGAAGCCCCGGUAAACGGCGGCCGUAACUAUAACGGUCCUAAGGUAGCGAAAUUCCUUGUCGGGUAAGUUCCGACCUGCACGAAUGGCGUAAUGAUGGCCAGGCUGUCUCCACCCGAGACUCAGUGAAAUUGAACUCGCUGUGAAGAUGCAGUGUACCCGCGGCAAGACGGAAAGACCCCGUGAACCUUUACUAUAGCUUGACACUGAACAUUGAGCCUUGAUGUGUAGGAUAGGUGGGAGGCUUUGAAGCGUGGACGCCAGUCUGCGUGGAGCCAACCUUGAAAUACCACCCUUUAAUGUUUGAUGUUCUAACGUUGGCCCCUGACCGGGGUUGCGGACAGUGUCUGGUGGGUAGUUUGACUGGGGCGGUCUCCUCCCAAAGCGUAACGGAGGAGCACGAAGGUUAGCUAAUCCUGGUCGGACAUCAGGAGGUUAGUGCAAUGGCAUAAGCUAGCUUGACUGCGAGCGUGACGGCGCGAGCAGGUGCGAAAGCAGGUCAUAGUGAUCCGGUGGUUCUGAAUGGAAGGGCCAUCGCUCAACGGAUAAAAGGUACUCCGGGGAUAACAGGCUGAUACCGCCCAAGAGUUCAUAUCGACGGCGGUGUUUGGCACCUCGAUGUCGGCUCAUCACAUCCUGGGGCUGAAGUAGGUCCCAAGGGUAUGGCUGUUCGCCAUUUAAAGUGGUACGCGAGCUGGGUUUAGAACGUCGUGAGACAGUUCGGUCCCUAUCUGCCGUGGGCGCUGGAGAAUUGAGGGGGGCUGCUCCUAGUACGAGAGGACCGGAGUGGACGCAUCACUGGUGUUCGGGUUGUCAUGCCAAUGGCACUGCCCGGUAGCUAAAUGCGGAAGAGAUAAGUGCUGAAAGCAUCUAAGCACGAAACUUACCCCGAGAUGAGUUCUCCCUGAGACUUUAAGUCUCCUGAAGGAACGUUGAAGACGACGACGUUGAUAGGCCGGGUGUGUAAGCGCAGCGAUGCGUUGAGCUAACCGGUACUAAUGAACCGUGAGGCUUAACCU